AUCCAGCUGACGAGUUCCAAAUACUGACGAAACGCACUUCUUGGAU
rnacentral:hammerhead_ribozyme from 1 species